CAAUUGAAGGACGACGACCAUUCCGAGGUAGUUUUCAUCAUUUCAGAGACAUCUGGAGGCAGGUUGGCUCACCGGAAAGGAAACUUCGUUGUCAUAGCACCGUCUAAGACCAAUUAUUGGCUACAAUAGGAGGACUACGACCAUUCCGAGGUAGUUUUCAUCAUUGCAGAGAUGUCUGGAGGCAAGUUGGCUCACCAGAAAGGAAACUUUGUUGUCAUAGCACCAUUCAAGACCAAUUAUUGACUUCAAUCGGAGGCCGAUGACUAUCUCGGGGUAGUUCUCAGUACGUUGGAGCCAUCUGGAGGCAAGUGUGGUCACAAAAUAGAGAACUCGAAUAUAAUAGCACCAUUCAAGACCAAUGAUUGACUAUGAUAUGGGGACGAUGACAAUACUCUGAUUAUCUUCAGCAUUUGAGUUUUCUCUGGAGAUCCCUCAUUGCCUUGCAGAAGUGUCUCAACACCUCUCGCGGAUGUGUCUCAACGUCAUUCUCAGUCGUCGAAAUGGAUGGGCAUUGGCUCCUUUAUGACUGCCACUCGUGCAUUCUUCAUAGAACUUCUGUAUCCAUUCAAACGCAUUUCUUUGCGAGAAAACAUUUACAUUUCCAUAAUACUGUGCACAAAGUUUUUUUUAUGGAUAUCGGUAUAUUCAUAUAUAUGGAAUUACUGGACACCCCUUCAUAUCACGAGAACGAUGACUGAUUCACUUGUACAAAUUAAGCAUGGGACAGCCAUUCUUCCUAGCACCUCAGUCCCAACUGAACUGAUUUAACAGAUUCAAGCCUGCACAGCAGUGACUGGAGAUACAGCAACCUUGUAUGAAAAGUGCCGAUAAGACAGUGCAGCCAACAGAAGGUCACCCCAGGAGUUACUAUCGCCCGAAGAUGUCACAGGUGGUCAUGAUUCUUUGAGGCAGCGGAAUUUCACCGCAGUGCAUCUUUAACACCUUCAGUUUCUUUUCUACUGCAAGCCUGGUACUACAGCUUGUGGCCCGUGUAGAAGAAUAGAGGGGUGAAACCAAGGCUCAAGUGACUGUGGACUCAUGGCCCUCAGACAGCUAGAGCACCAGACCAGGCACAGACCAGAGCCAUUUAUGCUCCACUUCUAGAGGACAUGUUGCAGUUUGAAACUACCAAGACUCAUGGAAGCUGCUGACAGGAGGCUGUUGAAGCCGUGGUCGCAAGGCACCCAUGACAUUGAAGUCUUCCAAACAAGGCACUAUGAAGGCAUGACUUGUAGCGGCACUGGAGCAAGCGACACGGUCCGGGUGAGCCGCAAGUGUAACUGUUACACUGUAAACAGGAAAUAUAGACAUGUGUCCGACAAAGCACAGACUCAUAAAACUUUCAUGUAGCAAUAAUAGUUUAAUUUAACUAAACAGUGCAUCAACAGAGCCUGACCCAAGAAUGGGGAAUUGGGGAACCGGCCAAUGUGUAGAGUCUAACAGAAACAAGGAAGGCGAUAAAAACAAAUGGGGCAACAUGUUAAGAUAGGACAAUAAUGUCGUGCCUAUUUUUUGUUUUCAAUUAAGAUUUUAUAGGAGCUAGCAAAAUAUGUCCUUGCAAUGGAAUAGACCUACUUUUACAAAAAGACCUUCAAUGUUUUUGUUAAAAUAAAUUGCGUCUGAGGAGGUGGAAAUAUGAUUUUCCCAAUUGCGCAUUAACAUAUCUUCGAGCUCCACAGGGUAAUAAAACAUCCCGAAACGUAAAUAUUUUUAUGCAUGCUCAGAAGUUUUUUUUAAAUAUAGAAAAAGUCAAAUAAUUUUUU
rnacentral:lncRNA from 1 species